rnacentral:tRNA from 1 species
UGCGGCUAUGGCGGAAUUGGCAGACGCGCUAGCUUCAGGCGCUAGUGAGGGCGACCUCGUGGAAGUUCGAAUCUUCUUAGCCGCAUAAU